rnacentral:lncRNA from 1 species
CUGCAAACAAAGUGUACAAUGCCUUAAAGUACUUGAACAGAGAAAGUAACCAAGAUGUCAACUUGCCAGCUUUGACAUGGUGACCUGUAACAUGAUGUGCACUAUAGCCUCAUCAUAUUUGUUGGGCCAGGCAAUGCCCAAACAUGUGGAAACUCAGGGUAUUUGAGCUUCGAAAGCCUUUUCCUGCCCUAAAAGGGAAUUCAAAAGGUCUUUUGGAGGGGGAGGAAAUCACACGGCGUUUAUUCUGCAGGGUAACCCGGCAUUCCCAAGACCCAAGCGCCAUGAUGCUCCAGGCCUGCCUCUCCAUUCACCAAGAUGUCUCACUGCCUCUGGAAAAGGGAACAAAAGAGCCAUUAUACAAUGCUCCAUGAAGCACAAGGUCAAAGAGACCAGCCAAUCCCAAUGGGGUUGAUGAAAAUCUGUGCCAAGAAGCACAAGGACAAAAAGGACCAAACCAAUCCAGGUAGAAUUGAUGAACUUCUAAGCCAAUAGGAAAGGACUUGAACCUGAUGUGAAACUCGAGGUUGAGAUGCUUGACAUAUAUUAAGACAUAGGACACCUUGUACUACACUCUUUGUGAAAAACUCACAGAAACGUACAGAAGUUUGGCUAUCAUCCUGGCUCCCCCUAUCCCUGAGAGUGAAGGAAAAAUCAGACCAGGUGUGAUAUUGAAAUCACUUUAAAAGACUGAAAUAUAUUAAUUUAAGGUCGCCAAGGAAUUCACUUAUGUAAUUCCUAAAUUAAACACUCAAGUCAGCUGCCAACUUUUUUUAUGGUGUUCAAUUACAAACAGGAGGAAGAAAGUAUUAGAGGGAGGGAGAGAGGGAGGGAGGGAGGGAGAGAGAGGGAAAAGGGAGAGAAGGAAAGAGGUUUUAAAUACCCACUCUGCUCAGGCUGAGCCAAAGCGAGCUUUAAGGCCCUGGAUAGCCAAGGCAAGGAAAGAGAUCAGUCCCUAUCACUCACAUGACCAAUCUGGAGAAAAACAGUCCGC